UGUUUUUCAAGGUUUCCUUCACUCGGCGUGGCUUCAUAUCCAUUGUUUGGGUUAGAGAUAGAGAAGGAGCAAUCGUCUUUCACAGUCAGUUAUCCCCACCCGUAAUUUUUCCAAAACUCAAUAGCCAUGAAUAACGGAAAGUACAGGCUCUAUGCUGUGCGUAGGGGACGUAUUCUUGGAAUCUACACAAAUUGGGAGGACUGCAAAGAACAAGUGAAUGGCUUUCUAGAUGCAGAGUUCAAGGGAUUCCGCCUGCUGAGAGACGCCUAACAUUGGUUGGGAGUUGUUGAUCCACCAUUGACACUACCCCAACCUCCGGAGCUCGAUUCUGGAGUUCAUCCUCCGACGGGACGCUUUAAGCCACCGGUGUCUUUAACCAAACAUUUCUACAGCAUGCAUGUUGGCCCAACAUUGGGUGAAUCAUCACAGAAAGCAUUUGUUCCUUGUUCUCAGAUACCAGAAGGACCGAACAUUAUUCCGGAGAAUUCUAUGACUCAGUUUGUAGUGUUUGAAGACUUGGAGGUCUAUCUCAUUCGUGUCUGUUGCCAGCUGAGGCUUGAUUAUCCGGUCUUUAACAAUUGUGUGUUUUUCUCCGACACUGGUGAGUUGCUUCAUGGCUACUGGGUGACACUGCGAUCACAACAACGCGAUGUUAGCUGGAUCGUCGAGGGUGGGUUCUCAUCGGAUGAGCAGAUGGCAAGGCAGGACGCGUCAUUCAAAAUGUUAGGGAAGGUGCUAUCUUUCGUGGGGAAGGAAAUCCACGACUACAACUACAGGAUCGUGGAGGCCUUGAGAGUGCGGGUUGAGGAACUGGAACGGCAACAACGAAACCCCGUACACCAGCGAAUCCGGGAGCUGGAACAGGAGAACUGAAAGCUUAGGUAUGAUCUUCAGCAGUAUAACGAGUUAUUCGAGACUUGAAUGAAGGGUUCACUGUGUUUGCAAGUAUCUACAUUUACAGUGUAGCAGCUUAUUGUUAAGUCUUUGUCCUUCACUGUUGUUCAUAUUCAGUAGUUAUUCCUGUUUACGUAUGUCUGCUAUUAACGUCAACGGUGAUUCUUGUAAGUUGGUUAACUGUGAUGUUCUUGUUGGGGUUUAGGUUGCUUUCCAGUAAUUUCCAAGGAGGGUUCAUGAACUAAUUAUGCAAUUGUUCAGGUUAAUUACAUAUUUUAUGGUCGUCGGGUUUCUCAAUUAUCAUUACUCAAUCUUAAUUUAUUUAACUUAACUCUGUUAGACGUGGGCAUGCUGUACUAAUUAGUAGGGACCUACGUAUUAGUCCUCUAAUAAUGAAUUUACUUUACUAACCGAGGAAGUCGAUAGUGGAACCAACUACUACGUAACCACAAGAUUUAGUGUAAUAGCUGCCGUUGAGUUAGUUUCUUGUUUAACUUAAUAUAGUUACUUUUCGUUACAUAAAGUUGGGUAUAGUUUGCUACCAAUGCCAUAGGAUAUCAUUUACCUAUCUGAUGGGAAGGAAGGUGUUCUUUGUCCUUUCUAGUCAAACAGACGUGAAUAGGCGUGUAGAUGCAGUGGAUAAAGGUUGAAGUGUGAUUGGUUAAUGGGAUGGAGAAUCCGUAGAUUGUAUUUGAAGUUAGGGUCAGUGUUGAGUGAAUUUUCCUGUGUGCUGUAUUGUUCCAGAAGAUGCCUACAGAAAUGAUGCCCUUCGGCCCAUUAGGCCAUAAAGACAAAAAAGCCCAUGAAUAAGAUACCCAACUACGGGGUUCCCUAUGCAGUCUAUGAGAAGAAUUGGGCCACUAUUGAAGACGUUAUGUGAAUACAAUUAAACGUGGCUUCAUGUUUGAGUAGCGGCACGUGUGUCCUGUUUACGAACUGCAAUGUAAUUGGGAAUCGUCUUAAGCACACUACUAACCUAACCCACUUAACCUUCAUUCUAUUGUGCACUUGCUAGUACUGUUCAGGAUGGAGUUACACAAAGAGAAUAGCGUGGAGGAUGCGGUGAAGCGUCGACGGAGAGCAACCAAGGAUGAACCAAUGGAGCCGGUAACCACCGUGGAGGAUGCAGUCAGCGGUGUGGCUGAUCAGACACAAAAACCCUCAACCGGAAAUGACAUGAUUUUGGGGAUCCUGAAGACGCAAGCGAACCAAAUACAAGCCUUAAUCGCAGUUGUAGCACAGCACGAUCGAGUGCUGGAACUUCUCACGUCUUUGAAUGUAUCUGCUACUAGUGACAACAAACCGAUGAUGAACCUGAACCUAAACUUGCAUCCUACUGGAGGAGUGCAUCUUUACACAAACGAUGGAACACUUGAAGAGCCGGUGAAAGAGGUGACAAACGGCGGGACGCUCUCAGGUAGAACUCCGACACGCCAACAGUGUCCUCCACCAAAACCAGAGGACGUUAUCCGGGGUAUAUCAGCCCCAAUGCCUACAACGAUGGCCGGGGUCAACAAGGGAAAAUCCGGUACUCCCCAACCAGCACCACAAGUCAACUUACAGAGAAAGCUUUCCUUUAAAGAUGAAGGGAAUUCCACAAAAGACCUCAUAAGAAACAUAAGGUCUACAGGUCCUGGCUCUCCAUGGACAUUUUACACACAUAGGAGUGCGGACAUUAGGUCGGAGGAGACUCCAAAGGUACAUGAAACACUGCAUGGAAACCCUGGAUGAACAUUGUUUUCUUUGUUUAGGGUCAAGUUGCUUAGUUUUGCUCAUUCGUGUCGAAAGGAAGAAAUCUUUUCGGUCUGGAAUAUUUUUUUUUCUUUUUGUGUAGGUCCUUUGGACGAAUGUUUGCCCUCGUUACCUUUUCUUGGGUCGGCAUAUGUGGCACUUUUGAGAAUUGUAAUUUUUGGUUAACUAUGUCGCCCAACAUUUACAUGCCCAAUCUAGUGACCAUUGACGUUUAAAGGGCCACUACUACGUCUUGGGCCCUAGCUGGCUUAAGUUAGGCCCAAUAGCCUUCUCAUAGCCUGAUGGAAUGGUUUCCUUAUAAUUAUUAUUUUUUUACUACAUGAUCAACAAAUUUUUUUUUUACUAAGUACCCCAUCGUUUGCAUGCCCAGUUUGGACCUUUAAUGUUUACGGCCCACUACUUCACCUUGGGACACCCUUGGCCCUAGUAGGACCCAAUAGCCUUCUCAUACUAUGAUGGAAUGCUUUCCUUAUUAAUCAUUAUUGUAUGGAUCACUUUAUUGUUUUUUUCAUCUGGGUUGUUUUCCUCGCAAACAUUGAACUGUUAAUCUCUUCCUAUGCAAAUAAAAUAACCUUUCGGACCAUUUGGUCUACUGUUAAUGGUUUAUUCAUGUUGGAUAAUCGUAUACUAAGAAAUUUAAGAAAAAUUAUUUCCUCUACUCCAACACCUUGAUCGCGAAGUAGUGCCUGGACCUCUCAUUCUGGCCCCCGGCGGGGAUGAAGUUUGUUAGCCACGAACUCGCUAUUGCAGCCUACAUCUUUGCCAACGGCCUACAACCGAGUGAAAUCCUGGUGGAAAAUGAACAUUGCACCGGGAAUAGGGAAGCCCUUUGGACAUUACGCCCUGGAGAGGAGGUCGUUGACGACGUUAUCAACCUUGUCGUAGCAAUGGUUUCCUCAAAUAAAGCUGAGAAACAACGGUGGUGGCUACCAACCACCUUUGCGUAAAUAGCUAGGAGCCCAGGCCACCACUGCAAGGCAACACUUGAUUACAUCGUAGCAAAGUACAUGGGUUUCGCCGAUAAUCUACUGAAGAUUUAUGUUCCUUUCCACAUGCGACGUCACUGGUAUUUGAUGAUUGUUGACAUGUGGGAUGAGAAGUUGAUUUAUCUGGAUUCAUUAAAGUCUACCGUCGAGCGACAGGCUCGAAUAGAUCAAAUGAUGGAAGUGGCUCGGUUACUUGAGCUGUUGUUGACUGACACGUCUUCAUACGAGUGUAAGACGACUGUAUCGAAGUCUAUCUCAAAGUUUAGGAUCCACGAGCCACACAUUUCUCAAUAGGCUGCGGAUUCCAAUGACUGCGGAGUUUGGGUUGCAGAGUGGAUGAUCCAAUACGAUUUAUGGGCAUCGUAUGACCUUCAGGUGAUCAAUGAACACACCAGAAUGACCAUUGCUGUUGAUCUAGUUAUGGGUGAGCACAACCCAAUCUCUGAAGAAGUUCAACAAAAGGCUGUCCAAUUCUGGGACAGGAAUAUGAUUUGCUCGUACAUGAAAGGAGCUAGACCAAGAAAAAGGACCCGUAGUCCUGUGGGGCCACUAAGUCCCUAAGUUUGAUCUGGCAGAAAUUAUAAAAUUUUUUGGGUUGUUGAACGCCGUAUCGAAUGCUUUAAUGGAUCUCUGGCAGGAUGAAUUGGCCUGCGUUCGACAC